GGGGAGUACGGCCGCAAGGCUAAAACUCAAAGGAAUUGACGGGGGCCCGCACAAGCGGCGGAGCAUGCGGAUUAAUUCGAUGCAACGCGAAGAACCUUACCAAGGCUUGACAUAUGCGAGAACGCGGCAGAGAUGUCGUUCUCUUUGGACACUCGCAUACAGGUGGUGCAUGGUUGUCGUCAGCUCGUGUCGUGAGAUGUUGGGUUAAGUCCCGCAACGAGCGCAACCCUCGUUCUAUGUUGCCAGCACGUGAUGGUGGGGACUCAUAGGAGACUGCCGGGGUCAACUCGGAGGAAGGUGGGGAUGACGUCAAAUCAUCAUGCCCCUUAUGUCUUGGGCUUCACGCAUGCUACAAUGGCCGGUACAAAGGGCUGCGAUACCGCGAGGUGGAGCGAAUCCCAAAAAACCGGUCUCAGUUCGGAUUGGGG
rnacentral:rRNA from 1 species